GAAGAACUUUGUUUCCCCUCCAAUCUGGGGAUUCCAGGUGCUAAGGAUCAGAGCCAUUAAGUGACCCAGCCAAGAACAAAGUAAAUGAUGGACAACCAAGAGGCAAACACUUAAUGGACUAUAAUGGAGAGAGUACAAAUGCAUUGAAGGCUGAACUCUGCAGUCAAGACUGGUCAUCAGAGAGAAGAUGAAAAUAUGCCUUAUGGUAAGGAUACUGCCAGUCUCAAGAGUGAGGGAAAGGAAGAGGCGGAGUCUUCAGGCUAGAGCUUGUACUGCAUCCGAGAAAUGAGAAAUGAGUUGGCAACUGGGGAAUGAGGUCUCUUCCAUCAAGA